rnacentral:SRP_RNA from 1 species
GCCGGGUGCGUUGGCAUGUGCCUGUAAUCCAAGUCACUGGGAGGCUGAGGUUGGUGGAUCAAGUGAGCUGAGGAGCUCUGGGCUGCAGCACGCUAUGUCGAACGGGUGUCCACGCCAAGUUCGGUAUCGAUAUGGUGUUCCUGGGGGAGCCCGGGACCACCAGGUGUCUAAGGAGGGGUGAACCGGCCCAGGUCGGAAACGAAGCAGGUCAAUCCCCGUGCUGUCCAGUAGUGGGAUAAUACCUGUGAGUAGAUGCUGCAGUGCAGCCUUGGCAAAAACAUUGAGACCUAGUCUUUU